AUGAGUCGGAUUCGCGAAGAAAAUGAUGUUAAUGAUAAUUUGUCAGUAGUAGACUAUUGUUCAAAGCAAAUGAAACAGAAAUCUUUGAGUGAGAAACCAUUGAAUGGCAUUGCUUACAAUGCUCAUGAUAUGGCUGGUCCUGCCAAACAAUCAAAAACAAAACAAAAAUUGUCUGAAGAUAUGAACGAUGAAGAAAAAGAAUCUGUUAUCCAAGAAGUGCUAGACUAUAUGUUGGGUCAUAGGUCUCCUGCGGCUUCCUCAUCAGACUGCCUCUUCUGCAAAGGUGUUGCUCCCUCAAAGGAAAAAUUUUCUCCAAGUUGCUCACACAAUCAGCCUAGUGUUACUGACUUCCCUGUAUACCGAUCCUCACCUCCUAAACACCUAAACAGUGCACAUUUUUCUAAGAGAAAUGUUGCCACAAAUAUCAAGGAUAAGAAAGCAAAGAAAACAAAAAUCAUAGUUGGAAAGCAACCUGAAGAGCAAAGAGAGUCCCACAUCCAAAAAUUGCUGGAAGAUGGAUUUGGUGCUACCACAGCUCUAGCCUCUAUUGAGGCAACAUAUGCAUCCAACAUCCUUGGAAAGGAGCAUUUUCUAUUGUCAAAACAACCUGAACAAGUUGGUGACUCUAAACAUCAACAUACUUGUAAAAUGUACACUAAGCCAUUUGGAAAAAAGUGUUCGAUGGAUAAUCACUUGUGUCUUGAAUGCCAAGAAUUGAAAGGUGUAAAAAGUAUGACCCCCUCUAAACGAAGAUAUUGGGGCCGAAAAAGAUGUACGCAGCCAUUGCAAAGCGAUAAAACUGAUUCCUUUGUCAUGCAGCCACAUCAAAACAACAAAUCUCAGUCAUCUAAAACCAUUGUCCAAACUUCUUCUAAUGGAUCUCCCUAUUGGCCAAGGGUUCUCAUCUCUUCUCAUCUUAAUGUUCUUUUCUCUCGCAUUAACGCAGAGAACGACAACAUGUUGUUUCGACUUCCAAUAAUCCCCUAACGUGAUGGUUACUAUACAAUAUUUCAGGAAUCCUACGCAAGCCUUCGAUAAUAAUUAAGUUGAAACAUAGUGGACAGAAAAAUGCCAAAUACGAAAUGCAUGCGCCAUUCUAUGGUAUCGACCUAACGCACCAUGUGAACGUAAACUGAGAACUAGAACAGUGGGAACUAUGACUCGAUGGACCAGCUCAAAACCGUGAUCGUCGCGAAAGACAACAAAGGGUUGUGUACGCUCACUGGAAUAAUGCCAGUUAUGCUUAGGAGCUCAGCCAACAUAUUGGCUGUUAUUUCAACAGCAAAAAUGUUUGGUCAGUCCUUAUUAUUGUUACCAUUCAUUAUUUACAGGUAAAAAAGGAUGAUAUGGUGAGUGGAUAAGCAAAGAAAAA